rnacentral:rRNA from 1 species
GACGAACGCUGGCGGCGUGCUUGACACAUGCAAGUCGAACGAUGAAACCGGAGCUUGCUCCGGUGGAUUAGUGGCGAACGGGUGAGUAACACGUGAGUAACCUGCCCUUGACUCUGGGAUAACUGCGGGAAACUGUAGCUAAUACCGGAUACGACCCUCGGAGGCAUCUCCUGGGGGUGGAAAGAAUUUCGGUCAAGGAUGGACUCGCGGCCUAUCAGCUAGUUGGUGAGGUAACGGCUCACCAAGGCGACGACGGGUAGCCGGCCUGAGAGGGAGACCGGCCACACUGGGACUGAGACACGGCCCAGACUACUACGGGAGGCAGCAGUGGGGAAUAUUGCACAAUGGGCGCAAGCCUGAGGCAGCAACGCCGCGUGAGGGAUGACGGCCUUCGGGUUGUAAACCUCUUUUAGCAGGGAAGAAGCGAAAGUGACGGUACCUGCAGAAAAAGCACCGGCUAACUACGUGCCAGCCGCCGCAGUAA